rnacentral:lncRNA from 1 species
AGCGAUUCGGGGCGCGCGUGGUCAACGGCCCAGCGAAAGAUGGCGUCGCAGCGGGUAUCGCGCAGCGGCAUGCGAACCAGGUCGCUCCAGUCAUUGCCAAAUUCUUUUGCGAUGCAAUGAACCAUCAGGGCGUCGUAGAUCUCUUCCGGUCCGGGCUCGGCGGCGCCGGUGCCCGCCAGGGGCCACGGGUCUGGCCGCGUGCCCAAGGAGACCUCGAAUGCUUGGUCAAAGGCAGAGACCGGCGUGUCGUCGGGCUUGAACGACCACGAGUAGAGCGCGGCGGGCCGUGCGACGUUGGGCCAUCGCGAAAGGAUGGCGACGGCGCAGUCGCGUCUCCCGUGCUCCAGCGCCGCGUCAAAGGCAUUGGAAAUGGCGUCUGGAUCAGCGCACCGGGCAAGAAUCCACUCGACAACGCGGGUCGUCCCCGACCCUGCGGCCUCGGCCAGAGGGCGCUCCAAAAUCGCGGGGUCGUCCCCAUAAUAGCAUCGCUCGUAGACCAGUUGCAUGAUGGCAACGUCCCCGGUGCGCGCCGCCUGACGCAUGGGACGGUGGUGCCAAACACGCCCACAUGAAUGGCCAUUGUUGAGGCCCUUGUCGUCGCUGUCCUCCUCUCCCUCACCGCCGUUGUUGCUGUCGUCUUGGUCUGCUUGAUCGUCAUCGUCACCGUCGGCACGGACGCCCUUGGAACAGUCGCCGCCUUCAGGACAGAUGCCGCCCUGGACCCCCUCGCGGUGGUCGAUCUCGUGCGCGCGAUCGAGAACGAGGCGCACGGCGCCGAUGCACUUGCUCGAUAUGGCGUUGCCAAGGACCUCGUUGAGUAUAAUGGCGUCGCGCUCGUCCAGGAGCCAACGCAUGAGGUCAACGCGGCCGCCCUUGGCUGCCGCACACAAGGCCUCGGUAGGACAGCCGCCGCCGAUCGACUCGUCGAUGAUCCACUCGACGAGCGUGCGGUGGCCGCCCUCGGCCGCGGCGCGCAGGCAGUGGAUGUCGAUGCGCCACGGGUCGACGCCGUGCCAAUAGCGCAGGCCGUCGAGCGAC